GCUGGAGAGUCAGAUUGGGCGCGGGGAGACGGAAAUACGUAAAGCGUAUUCCGGUGACCGCGUAGACUUCGAAGGCAGCCGAAUGGAGGAGGUGCCUCAGGGCUGUCCCGGGACCGGCAGCGCCCAGGCGGGCCGAGGGGCCUCAUGUCAGGGCUGCCCCAACCAGCGGCUCUGCGCUUCCGGAGCCGGCGCCGCUCCCGACCCAGCUAUAGAAGAAAUCAAAGAAAAAAUGAAGACGGUGAAACACAAAAUCUUGGUAUUAUCUGGGAAAGGUGGCGUUGGAAAAAGCACAUUCAGUGCCCACCUUGCCCAUGGCCUAGCAGAGGAUGAAAACACACAGGUCGCUCUUCUGGACAUUGAUAUAUGUGGGCCGUCAAUUCCCAAGAUAAUGGGCUUGGAAGGAGAACAGGUUCACCAGAGUGGCUCGGGCUGGUCUCCAGUGUUCGUGGAAGACAACCUCGGGGUGAUGUCGGUCGGUUUCCUGCUCAGCAGUCCUGACGACGCCGUCAUCUGGAGGGGACCAAAAAAAAAUGGCAUGAUCAAGCAGUUCCUCCGUGACGUGGACUGGGGAGAGCUGGACUACCUCAUCGUGGACACCCCGCCCGGCACGUCGGACGAACACCUGUCGGUCGUGCAGUACCUGUCGGCGGCGCGCCUCGACGGGGCCGUGAUCAUCACCACGCCUCAGGAGGUGUCCCUCCAGGAUGUCCGGAAGGAGAUCAGCUUCUGCCACAAGGUGAAGGUGCCCAUCAUCGGAGUGGUGGAGAACAUGAGCGUCUUCGUCUGCCCCAAGUGCAAGAAAGAAUCUCAGAUAUUCCCCCCAACAACGGGGGGUGCGGAGGUCAUGUGCCAGGAUCUGAAGAUCCCGCUCCUCGGGAAAGUGCCUCUGGACCCACACAUAGGUAAGAGUUGCGACAAAGGACAGUCUUUCCUGAUGGACGCGCCAGCUUCUGCAGCCGCUCUAGCCUAUAGAAGUAUCAUUCAAAAGAUCCAGGAGUUCUGUGGUCACCAUCAGCCCAAAGAAGAGCACCUCGUUGGUUCCUGAGACACGAGCUGCACGUGGAGCGCAGCCUGAGCAGCCCGGGGACAGAGCGGGGGUCUUGGGCAGAAAAGGACCAGACUCUGGCCUGCUUCCGGAAAACGGACAGCUGGUUGGUCAGGGAGUUCUUCUCUGCUGGAAGCUUGCGGAAGGACAACCUCUUGCUUAAGCCACUGCGGCCUCAGGAGAGACGCCUAAAAAAGAAGCAUCUCAAAAUCCAGUCAUGGUUUCGAAUAACAUGGUCCAAAUGCCGGUGCUUUAGAUUGAGGGGAAAAUGCAACCAGCCCCGAAAAGCCCUUCAGUCACCCCUGUAGACAGAACAGGGGGGCCAGGCCCAUGCCCCAUGCGCUAAGAUGCGUUCACUGUCCAGUAAUUUCUGCCGUCCUAUGAGACCGAUUACAGGGUUUUGGGUUUUUUGGUUUUGUUUUUUUUUUCCCAUUACAUAAGAGAGACCGACAUAAACUCUAGAAUUCUCGCUGUGAGGAGAUGCACAAGAACUGACACCAAGGGGGUGGGGGAGAGGUAACUGCCAUUUUCCAGCUCCCUCUGGGCAUCCGUGGAAGGAUGGGCACAUCCCUUCGUUCGCUCCCUCUCCCCUCAUUCCCAUCCCCCCACCUCUGGCCUGCACCCGUGGUGGAGUUUGUGUGUGUGCCAUGUGAGGAAGGGGAGGGGGUCCUGGAAGCCGGGGGAAGGCCCAGCGGCCAGACCCGUCCGGCCAGCUCCCUCCUCACUGUGCACCCUAGCCGCCCCGCACAGCGGAGCCCCAGCCCCCACCUCUGUCCUGCCGCUUACCUAAUGCUUGUGAAUCUCCAGCCCCUCAAGGCCAGGCUUCUGGAAGUCACCUGGGCUGGCCUGCAAGGAGAAAAGUCAACUGGGGCUUUGCCCUCACACGCGAGGGGCCUGACUCUGCUGAUACCAGGCGCAGAGCAAACCCACAAUGUAACCGAAAGCCCACAGGGCUCACUGCUCAAUGUGGUGGCAUAAAGUAGCAUUGUUCAAAUUUUAAGAUGGCUCAGACCAUCCAUUUGAAAAGAUCUCACACUUCUGGAAAUAUAUGCUAGGUUAAAAAAAAAAACUGCGUGUGUGUAGUACUUAAUUCUGUAGUUUUUAGAUCACUCAAAACUAACAGUGGCCGUCACGAAAGGACUCGUACUGUAGGAUCCCCCUUACACAAGGGCCCUGCUGGAGUCAGAUUCAUAGAGCAGAGUAGAUGGUGGGACGCUGGGGAGGGAGACCAGGCAUGAAUGUGUCAUAGGGACGCUCUGGAGAGGGACAGUGCUGAAGGUGGCGUGACCACACGAACGUACUUAACACCACCGACCUGAACAUUUAAAAAACGGUCCAAGUGGUCAAUGCAAUGUUGUGCCGAUUUUAAUACACACACGCACCACUGACCCCGGCAGCCUAGCUGAUAGGGAACAGGUUCUAACGGCAUUUGCCCAGAGGCCACCCGCGCUCAAAGGGUGUGGAGUUCAGGGGUCCAGGAGGAAGACUAAAGCAGCUCACCGUCUG